CAGUUGGUGGCCUAGAAAUUCAAAUAUGGAAUUUUCUAGGCCACCAAGUUCCCAAUUUUUGGUGGCCUAGAAAUCCAAGUCAUGCAUUUUUCAAGGCCACCAAAAGCUUUGAAAUUUUUGAUGGCGCAGAAAUUCCAAUCUG
ensembl:ncRNA Y39G8C.8 ncRNA